AACGAGUCGAGUUUUUGCGAGCGCUCUGCCACACCCAAUUCCCCAUUUAUCAACUGCUUUGCAACUCUCUCUAGCCGCCGCCGCCGCCGCCGUCGUCGUGAAGAAGGGAGGAGGAAGGAGAAUGGAGUCCACCGAGUCUUCAUACGUCUCGUCCCCGGAGGCUCCUGCGAAGCGAUCUCCUCCGCCGCCAAAAUCUCCAAACUCGGAUAAUAUGGAAAAGGCUACAUACAUAAGGUUUCUUGUAUCAAAUGCUGCGGCUGGUUCUGUAAUUGGGAAAGGUGGUUCAACAAUUAAUGAUUUCCAG
rnacentral:misc_RNA from 1 species